rnacentral:rRNA from 1 species
UACGUAGGGUGCAAGCGUUGUCCGGAAUUAUUGGGCGUAAAGAGCUUGUAGGCGGUUUGUCGCGUCUGCUGUGAAAUUUCGGGGCUCAACCCCGAACUUGCAGUGGGUACGGGCAGACUAGAGUGUGGUAGGGGAGACUGGAAUUCCUGGUGUAGCGGUGAAAUGCGCAGAUAUCAGGAGGAACACCGGUGGCGAAGGCGCCACUCUGGGCCGAUACUGACGCUGAGGAGCGAAAGCGUGGGGAGCGAACAGG